GGCAACGGCCAUACCACCGUGAAUAUGCCAGUUCUCGUCCGAUCACUGAAGCCAAGCACGGUCGGGCGCGGUUAGUACUUGGAUGGGUGACCGCUUGGGAACACCGCGUGCCGCUGGCU
rfam:Oryctes borbonicus contig18967, whole genome shotgun sequence.